CAAUGAUGAAACCUAAACUAAAAAGCUGGAAUUACAUCAGAUCAUUCAGUGGUGAUUGCUGGUUUUCUGAGU
rnacentral:snoRNA from 1 species